rnacentral:lncRNA from 1 species
AUUAGUAAAAAAAAACACAAAAACAUUAUUUGUGUUAAGAAAUUAUGAUUUUCAAUUUUUCAUCAAUUUGUGUGGAAUUGCUUCCAAGUAAGUUAUUUAACAUACUAGUAUUAGACUACAUACACUCAUUACCUAUUACAACAUGAACGUUUUAAAUGUUUCGUUUUUUUUUUAGCUGUUGUUAUAGGUAAUAUAGAUUGGAUUGUCCAUCAGUCUUUCCGAAUGUUUACAAUAGAUGACCCAUGUAAUAUAUUUAGUAUUACAUAAACAUUUAAAAUUUUUCAUUUAUUAAUUAAUUUUAAAAUUAUUGUAGAUUGAUAAUAAGAGUGUGUGGCGGCUGAUCUGGCGUCCACCCACUUGAUGGUAGGUGAUUUCAUAUGGUUUGAUUGGAGGUUCAUUCAUAGAGCACAUUUGAAUCUGAAUGGUGCUGGAGAGACCGUGACUGCCACUGAAUGUGCCGGUGAUGUGGGUAUACAGCAUAAAGCCUUCCUACCUCAUCGAUCUCUGUUUGUAGUAAACUGCGCACUACAUGGUUUUACAUCUACUUAUCCAGAGAUGUGUACACUGAGUACAUAAUGGGGGUGCAACAGAGACCUAAGUAAGUUCCCUUUCUCAUUUGUACUUGUUUCCAUGUCUGCGAAUAGUCGCCUAUUAGUAUUGUUUUUUUUUACACCUGUUUAUUUUUACUAUAUUUAUAAAUUUUGAUUUUGUUACCAAAUUUGUGUACUGUGAAUUUUAUGUUGACUUUUGUUUUCUACUAUUCAUGACUUUUGCCUUAUUUUGCCUAAUUAUACUGUUUACUGGAAU